UACGGAGGGUGCGAGCGUUGUCCGGAAUCACUGGGCGUAAAGGGCGCGUAGGUGGCCCGUUAAGUGGCUGGUGAAAUCCCGCGGCUCAACUGCGGGGCUGCCGGUCAUACUGGCGAGCUAGAGCACGGUAGGGGCAGAUGGAAUUCCUGGUGUAGCGGUGAAAUGCGCAGAUAUCAGGAGGAACACCGGUGGCGAAGGCGGGUCUCUGGGCCGAAACUGACGCUGAGGAGCGAAAGCGUGGGGAGCAAACAGG
rnacentral:rRNA from 1 species